rnacentral:rRNA from 1 species
UACGUAGGGUGCAAGCGUUGUCCGGAAUCAUUGGGCGUAAAGAGUUCGUAGGCGGCAUGUAAAGUCUGGUGUUAAAGGCUGAGGCUCAACCUCAGUAAGGCACUGGAUACUUGCAAGCUAGAAUGCGGUAGAGGUAAAGGGAAUUCCUGGUGUAGCGGUGAAAUGCUUAGAUAUCAGGAGGAACAUCGGUGGCGUAAGCGCUUUACUGGGCCGUGAUUGACGCUGAGGAACGAAAGCCGGGGUAGCAAAUGGG